GCAGGCGUGGCGAAAUGGUAGACGCGCUGGUUUUAGGUACCAGUUCCGCAAGGAGUGUGGGUUCAAGUCCCUCCGCCUGCACCA
rnacentral:tRNA from 1 species